AGGGUUUGAUUAUGGCUCAGAUUGAACGCUGGCGGCAUGCCUUACACAUGCAAGUCGAACGGCAGCACGGGGGCAACCCUGGUGGCGAGUGGCGAACGGGUGAGUAAUACAUCGGAACGUGUCCUGUAGUGGGGGAUAGCCCGGCGAAAGCCGGAUUAAUACCGCAUACGCUCUGCGGAGGAAAGCGGGGGCUCCUUCGGGACCUCGCGCUACAGGGGCGGCCGAUGGCAGAUUAGCUAGUUGGUGGGGUAAAGGCCUACCAAGGCGACGAUCUGUAGCUGGUCUGAGAGGACGACCAGCCACACUGGGACUGAGACACGGCCCAGACUCCUACGGGAGGCAGCAGUGGGGAAUUUUGGACAAUGGGCGCAAGCCUGAUCCAGCAAUGCCGCGUGUGUGAAGAAGGCCUUCGGGUUGUAAAGCACUUUUGUCCGGAAAGAAGACCUCAGCCCUAAUACGGCGGGGGGAUGACGGUACCGGAAGAAUAAGCACCGGCUAACUACGUGCCAGCAGCCGCGGUAAUACGUAGGGUGCAAGCGUUAAUCGGAAUUACUGGGCGUAAAGCGUGCGCAGGCGGUCCGCUAAGACAGAUGUGAAAUCCCCGGGCUUAACCUGGGAACUGCAUUUGUGACUGGCGGGCUAGAGUAUGGCAGAGGGGGGUAGAAUUCCACGUGUAGCAGUGAAAUGCGUAGAGAUGUGGAGGAAUACCGAUGGCGAAGGCAGCCCCCUGGGCCAAUACUGACGCUCAUGCACGAAAGCGUGGGGAGCAAACAGGAUUAGAUACCCUGGUAGUCCACGCCCUAAACGAUGUCAACUAGUUGUCGGGCCUUCAUUGGCUUGGUAACGUAGCUAACGCGUGAAGUUGACCGCCUGGGGAGUACGGUCGCAAGAUUAAAACUCAAAGGAAUUGACGGGGACCCGCACAAGCGGUGGAUGAUGUGGAUUAAUUC
rnacentral:rRNA from 1 species